rnacentral:rRNA from 1 species
UGGGGAAUUUUGGACAAUGGGCGAAGCCUGAUCCAGCAAUGCCGCGUGUGUGAAGAAGGCCUUCGGGUUGUAAAGCACUUUUGUCCGGAAAGAAAUCCUUGGCUCUAAUACAGUCGGGGGAUGACGGUACCGGAAGAAUAAGCACCGGCUAACUACGUGCCAGCAGCCGCGGUAAUACGUAGGGUGCAAGCGUUAAUCGGAAUUACUGGGCGUAAAGCAUGCGCAGGCGGUUUGCUAAGACCGAUGUGAAAUCCCCGGGCUCAACCUGGGAACUGCAUUGGUGACUGGCAGGCUAGAGUAUGGCAGAGGGGGGUAGAAUUCCACGUGUAGCAGUGAAAUGCGUAGAGAUGUGGAGGAAUACCGAUGGCGAAGGCAGCCCCCUGGGCCAAUACUGACGCUCAUGCACGAAAGCGUGGGGAGCAAACAGGAUUAGAUACCCUGGUAGUCCACGCCCUAAACGAUGUCAACUAGUUGUUGGGGAUUCAUUUCCUUAGUAACGUAGCUAACGCGUGAAGUUGACCGCCUGGGGAGUACGGUCGCAAGAUUAAAACUCAAAUGAAUUGACGGGGUCAUAGCUG